rnacentral:rRNA from 1 species
GUGAACGCUGGCGGUAGGCCUAACACAUGCAAGUCGCACGGCAGCACAGUAAGAGCUUGCUCUUACGGGUGGCGAGUGGCGGACGGGUGAGGAAUACAUCGGAAUCUACUUUUUCGUGGGGGAUAACGUAGGGAAACUUACGCUAAUACCGCAUACGACCUACGGGUGAAAGCAGGGGAUCUUCGGACCUUGCGCGAUUGAAUGAGCCGAUGUCGGAUUAGCUAGUUGGCGGGGUAAAGGCCCACCAAGGCGACGAUCCGUAGCUGGUCUGAGAGGAUGAUCAGCCACACUAGAACUGAGACACGGUCCAGACUCCUACGGGAGGCAGCAGUGGGGAAUAUUGGACAAUGGGCGCAAGCCUGAUCCAGCCAUACCGCGUGGGUGAAGAAGGCCUUCGGGUUGUAAAGCCCUUUUGUUGGGAAAGAAAAGCAGCAGGUUAAUACCCCGCUGUUCUGACGGUACCCAAAGAAUAAGCACCGGCUAACUUCGUG